rnacentral:rRNA from 1 species
UACGUAGGGGGCGAGCGUUGUCCGGAUUUACUGGGCGUAAAGAGCGCGCAGGCGGUCGUUCAAGUCGCGUGUGAAAGCCCCCGGCUCAACUGGGGAGGGUCACGCGAUACUGAUCGACUCGAAGGCAGGAGAGGGUAGUGGAAUUCCCGGUGUAGUGGUGAAAUGCGUAGAUAUCGAGAGGAACACCUGCGGCGAAGGCGGGUUGCUGGGCUGACACUGACGCUGAAGCGCGAAAGCUAGGGGAGCGAACGGG